AACGAACGCUGGCGGCAUGCCUAACACAUGCAAGUCGAACGAAGCCUUCGGGCUUAGUGGCGCACGGGUGCGUAACGCGUGGGAAUCUGCCCUUUGGUUCGGAAUAACAGUUGGAAACGACUGCUAAUACCGGAUGAUGACGAAAGUCCAAAGAUUUAUCGCCAGAGGAUGAGCCCGCGUAGGAUUAGCUAGUUGGGGUGGUAAAGGCGCACCAAGGCGACGAGCCUUAGCUGGUCUGAGAGGAUGAUCAGCCACACUGGGACUGAGACACGGCCCAGACUCCUACGGGAGGCAGCAGUGGGGAAUAUUGGACAAUGGGCGAAAGUCUGAUCCAGCAAUGCCGCGUGAGUGAUGAAGGCCCUAGGGUUGUAAAGCUCUUUUACCCGGGAUGAUAAUGACAGUACCGGGAGAAUAAGCCCCGGCUAACUCCGUGCCAGCCGCCGCGGUAA
rnacentral:rRNA from 1 species